UGGGGAAUAUUGCACAAUGGGGGAAACCCUGAUGCAGCGACGCCGCGUGAAGGAAGAAGUAUCUCGGUGUGUAAACUUCUAUCAGCAGGGAAGAUAGUGACGGUACCUGACUAAGAAGCCCCGGCUAACUACGUGCCAGCAGCCGCGGUAAUACGUAGGGGGCAAGCGUUAUCCGGAUUUACUGGGUGUAAAGGGAGCGUAGACGGUGUGGCAAGUCUGAUGUGAAAGGCAUGGGCUCAACCUGUGGACUGCAUUGGAAACUGUCAUACUUGAGUGCCGGAGGGGUAAGCGGAAUUCCUAGUGUAGCGGUGAAAUGCGUAGAUAUUAGGAGGAACACCAGUGGCGAAGGCGGCUUACUGGACGGUAACUGACGUUGAGGCUCGAAAGCGUGGGGAGCAAACAGG
rnacentral:rRNA from 1 species